AGACGAUUGCUCGGGUGGUUUAAGGCAGCGGUCUUGAAAACCGCCGAGGGUGCAAGCCCUCCGUGAGUUCGAAUCUCACUCCGUCAGCCA
rnacentral:tRNA from 1 species